ensembl:lncRNA
GAGGUGAGUUGCACAUUGUCACACAUUGCUGCUUUACUCUUGUGUUUGAUUGUUUCAGAUCCUGAGAGAUCAAGUGGUGGACGUCCAUAGAGGAGAGGAGGUUCACAGAGAUUAGUUGCAACAAGAAAACGCUAUGCAUGGUGUCAGAGAUUUGCCGUAGAAGCAGAGCUUCUUCUUCUUCUUCUUCUUCUUCUUCUUCUUCUUCUUCUUCUUCUUCUUCUUCUUCUUCUUCUUCUUCUUCUUCUUCUUCUUCUUCUUCUUCUUCUUCUUCUUCUUCUUCUUCUUCUUCUUCUUCUUCUUCUUCUUCUUCU